UACGGGGGGGGCAAGCGUUGUUCGGAAUUACUGGGCGUAAAGGGCUCGUAGGCGGCCAACUAAGUCAGACGUGAAAUCCCCAGGCUCAACCUGGGAACUGCGUCUGAUACUGGAUGGCUUGAAUCCGGGAGAGGGAUGCAGAAUUCCAGGUGUAGCGGUGAAAUGCGUAGAUAUCUGGAGGAACACCGGUGGCGAAGGCGGCAUCCUGGACCGGUAUUGACGCUGAGGCGCGAAAAGCUAGGGGAGCAAACGGGG
rnacentral:rRNA from 1 species